rnacentral:rRNA from 1 species
CCUGACGACCAUAGCGUGCCGGCACCACCCGAUCCCUUCCCGAACUCGGUAGUGAAACGGCUCCGCGCCGAUGGUAGUGUGGGGUCUCCCCAUGUGAGAGUAGGUCAUCGUCAGGCACCC